rnacentral:tRNA from 1 species
GGGUAUGUGGCUCAGUGGUAGAGUGCUUGUCUCACACGCAUGAAUCCUGUGUUCAAUUCCUCAGCACCA